UACGUAGGCAGCAAGCGUUGUUCGGAGUUACUGGGCGUAAAGGGUGUGUAGGCGGUUUUUUAAGUUUGGUGUGAAAUCUCCCGGCUCAACUGGGAGGGUGCGCCGAAUACUGAAAGACUAGAGUACGGGAGAGGAAAGUGGAAUUCCUGGUGUAGCGGUGAAAUGCGUAGAUAUCAGGAGGAACACCGGUGGUGUAGACGGCUUUCUGGACCGUAACUGACGCUGAGACACGAAAGCGUGGGUAGCAAACAGG
rnacentral:rRNA from 1 species